UUGACUAAAAAUCACUCUUUGGUACCAAAAAUGGUCAUUUUGUUGAAAGUUUUGCCCUAUUACAUGCAAAUAGCUAUACAUCUUUCCAUAUUCUUUGCUUGGAUUUUCAUUAAAGUGUUCCUUCGGAUAAUGUAAAGUUAUUUUUAGGCUAGUUUAGUGGGAAAAAUUACUCAUUUGAAGGGAAAUUUCGAUUUUUGGUCCGAUUUUUGAGCGUUUUGUGGACAUUCGGUCAAAUUACUACUGACAAAACUAAAGAUGAGGUUCUUCAUGGCUCUAGGCCUACUUUCACCCCCUUAUACAUAGUCAAGCUCAAGUUCUAUUAAAAAGUUUGAAAAUUGUUCCACCGUGGUAUCAUUUUUUGGAAAUUUCGAUUAAUUUUUCUAAGUGGAUUGUUGUUUAUUAUUUUUGAAAUAUUAUAUAGCAUUGUCUGGAUGGCCGAUGUGUAGCUGAACAUGAGAAUAUCAUACCGGACUAUUCACAGCAUACGCCAAGUUAUGCUAGUCCAAAUCUAUAUCAACAACAAAGUCUCAACGGGCGAAUUUAAAUCACCUGAAUAAAUAAGGGGAAUAGGACAGCGGAUAUAAACUGGAGAUAGACUACAUGAAUGCGAAUAGAAAAAAAAAAUGAAUAAAUCGAUUUGCCAUAAACUGUAAAUACAUUAAAAUCAAUGGGAGAGUGUUCUUUCUUUACAUAUUGCCGAAAUAAACGCAUAAAUAUUCACCAUCCACUUUAGAUCAAUGUUCAUCAUUUUUAUUGAAUUAUCGUGGAAACAAUAUACUUUGUCUGAAUAUGAAAAGAAUUCUGUAUGAAUUUUGAACCGAAUGAGAAAAAUGCGAAGAAAAUAACUUUCGUAUGAAGAAGAAGAAGUAGUAGCUAUUGUAGUAGUAACCAUUCAGAUUCAAUCAAAAUACACAACAUAAGAUCAUAGCAUCAUUAAGGAAAUACUAAUAUAACGGCUAAGUAUUUUAAAAUUGGAUGAACUUUCAUUAUUAUUCUUAUACAAUCAACGCACCGCCCAUACACUUUAUUUGUAGUUAAGCCGAAAAUGCGGGAAUAAUUUUCCCUCGCCACUCCAAAGUAAUCAGUUUUAAUUGAAUUUUUGAAUUGGUGAUUUCUCAUUUACACCUUUGCGUUCAAUAAAUUAGCACUUUUUUUUUGUCUCAAGAUUAGUUCUUCGAAUUUUUUUUUCAUAAUAAUUUCCACAUUCUAAAUGGAGAAUGUUUUUACAAGAGAUUCUUGGUUCCUUGAAAACACUUGCAAGCAAGCAAUUAUAUUACAAUUUCAGAAUAUGUGUGUUUUUUCAAACGAUGAUGGAAUCAAUUUAAAAAAAAACUAGUGUAUUUAUUCAAUUUGUCAAUAAGUUCAUUUGAACAUUUUUUGCAAAGUCUUAAGAUAACAAAAAUGAGAAAAUUUCAUUGUCAAUUUUGUUAUUGAUACAUGGUUUAAAUGCAGAUCUUACCAUAAAAGUAUGUUACUGUUAGGUAAAAUCAAGAAAAUUAAAUUCUUAUUCAAAUGAGCCAAUCGAAAUGGUUUUACAUUUACUUGCCCAACGCAAUUCGACCGCAAAUAUAUAUAUAUUUCAAUUAUACAUGUAUGUUUCAGUUUGCCAUUCAAAAUAGGGAACAUAUUACGUAUUAUUCAUCUUCAAUGGCUCUUCGUGUCGAGAAAAGAAAUGAGAGAUAAAAAACGACGCAUGUAUAGUAGUAAUUUGUAAAUUUAAGUGAAAAAAUUUCCGCAAGACUCUUGAUUGAAUAUGUGAUAAGAAUAAAUAGAAUGCAAAACGAAAUAAUAAAACGUAUUUUAUAUGCUCAUCUUUUCCUAAAACAAAAAAGAACAAAAACUAUUUCCACGUCUAAUUGAUAGCAAAAACUAAUGAAAUUUUUUAGUAAAAUUGUAGUAAAUAUAAAUUGAUUGAUAAUCUCAUUAGAAACAUUAUCUUGAAAUAUUGAACAAAAUCGAUCACGCGAACGCAGCAUAUACAACAAAAGAUUCAUUAUCACUUCUCUUAUUGUAUGUUGAGGUUUGUUUGAUUUUUUCGCUUUAUUUUUUUUUCCAACUUCACCAAAAGCGAUAAUAACCAUGUCGUGUUCCUAUUAACCGAAAGAAAAACAACAACUAAAACCAUCAUUUCGAAUAAACCAUACAUUUUUAACUAUUCUAAUCAGAUUUAUUUCGGUUUUGAUUUAAAUAAAUUUAGGCCGAAAAUUUAUGAAGUUUAUUUACAAUCAAACAUAUAAAGGCACUCAUUUAAUACAAUUGUCUGUCAAAUUUUAGUUUAACAGAGAGCAAUUUUGAUAAAACUCCUACUAAAUUUUCAUUCAAUACACAAUACAAAAUGUUCCGUUGGCAUUAGAUCAAUGCGAGGCGCAAUAACAGAAUUGAGGAAUUGUUGCAAAUCAAAUUGGCUUCGAUCUCUUAAAUCUCUGACAAUUGAAUAAAAUUGCGUGUGCUUCGUCGUGGCCAGAUGCCUUUUGUGUAGAAUUGCGUUUUCGCAAUUAGCUAUGCUUCAUGCGAUAUAUUUAAAAAUAAAUGUUAAAGCAUUUUAGCAAUCAAAAUGUUUUUAUUUUCGGAUUUUAAAAACAAAUUCACCAUUUAUUACAUAAAAAUUGGUUACAUAAUAUGUUGUCCGAACCAUCGAUUAAGUUGUAAUUAUAAAGGCUAGCUUUUUUAAACAAAAAAAGAAAAUAGAUUUUAAGUAGCACAUUUAAUGUUUUAUUCUAAAUCAUUUGUAUCUUAAAUUGUAUUUUAUUGAAUUAAAUUACCUAGCAAUAAUAGA